UACGUAGGGGGCAAGCGUUGUCCGGAAUCAUUGGGCGUAAAGCGCGCGUAGGUGGCCCAGUAAGUCCGUUGUGAAAGUCAAAGGCUCAACCUUUGAAAGCCGAUGGAUACUGCUGGGCUUGAGUCCGGAAGAGGCGAGUGGAAUUCCUGGUGUAGCGGUGGAAUGCGCAGAUAUCAGGAGGAACACCAAUAGCGAAGGCAGCUCGCUGGGACGGUACUGACACUAAGGCGCGAAAGCGUGGGGAGCGAACAGG
rnacentral:rRNA from 1 species